CCCCAUCCCCUUCCUUCAUCAAUUCCCAACCCAGGACUUGAAAAAAAAUCAUAAAAUUUGCAAAAACUAGACACACAGUCAAGUUCCAAACAGCACAAACAAGAAUACAAUUAUCAGAAAACAAAAUAACAAAGAUCAAUAAAACACUUUUUUUUUUAAUCAAAAUUUCAAAGAAUUCCGAAAAUUUCAGAACUUUUCUCUCAAAGGAAUCACACAAGAUUUUCAGAUUCAAGCCCAAUUCAACCUCAAUAGCACCAUAUCAAGAUCAAUAUAUUCAAUCCGAAAUUCCUUCAAAUAUUCUAAUUUCUAAAAAUAAUCAGUACAAAAAUCCUUAAUAUUCAAUGAAGAAGGUGACCGGUGCAAAUAAUCAGUUACAAACUAUGAAAAAGAAUAAAAGGAAAUGACCACAGACAAGCAGAGCGGCAACAACGGCGAGGGGUGGCGACGAGGGUCCAGAGGAUUGACUACAACGAGUGCCACAAAGAAGAUGAUCUUGAACCUCGAACCAGAAUUGGAACGACACCGUUUACGACCUCGAAGCGCAGAUCUGGAAUCUAUAAGCUCAAAUCUCAGAUUGUAACACAGAUCUAGUACCUCGAAACUAUUGGUGGUUGGAGAUCGACCUUGGAGGAGAUACGUGGCUUGCGAUCGGCGUUGGCGGAGGAUAAGGAAUGCAAUCGUCGCGGACGAGGUCGGAGAGCUUGAGGCGGUGGCAGGGCGUGUGCGGCGUAGAACCCAGGCAAAGCAAACUUCGCGUGGUGGUGGCGGAGAAGGGGUGGAGAAGGAGGUGGUGUUUUUCAAACCUAACACGGCAGGAGUGGGGCCGGGGUUGACGGUGGCGCUGUCGACGUCGCAGAAGCCGGUGAUGGGAGGCCUCCGGGAUUAGGGAUUCAGAUUGGGGUAAGAAGGAUGAGAAGGGUUGUUUUUGACAUUUCACUUAAAGAGUGGGGGCGAGUGUAAUCCCAACAGAUAAGAAAAGAAAGAAAUUCUAUCCUCAUCUCUGUUAUUUUCUUUACUCCUAAUGACACGUGUAUCAAGUAACUGGACUUAUGGGCCUGAGGGCUCUAUUUAUUUAUCCCCUAUAAAGGGCACCAGUUAGUUCAAUCUGAUGUCUAACCUAAUUUGGAUACAUGCCUUUUAUUGCAGCUGCCGUCCGUGCACAGAGGAGUCUUAGGAGGAACAACUGUAGAGAAAAGGAUCUGCCAAAUUCGCUAGAAAAUUCACCGGAAACACCACCCGUUAUCCAAUUAAACGAGAUUUUUGGAUCAUUUGUGAAGUUGAAUUGCUAUCCAACUGCUAUUCCCAUUUCUAAACCUUGUUACACGAGCAUCUUGAUCAAUGGUCUAGAAAGGGAAAUAGCAGUUGAGUGGUGCUUCAACGAUAAGUUAUUCGAUUUAGUAUUUAUCUUAGCCUGUUUUCGUGUACUUUGUUUUGCCGGAUGGAGAUCUAAUAGCUAUGAAGCACCGAUACCAGACACGACACGGUCACGUGACACAUGUAAUGUCUAAAAUAUUAAAAAUAUAGAACGUAAUACGAGUGUCGUGUUGGUGUUGGACACUGAUAGGGACGCGUGUCAGACACCGGACACGACAAGGGACUGAAAUGUUCAUGCUUCAUAGUCUAAUAGAAUCGUUUAUGUUUGAGAUCUUGUUGAUGAGAGGCAGAUAGAGGUCAACUUGCCAAUAUGAUAACCUACAGUUCUAUAUUAGAUGCUUUGUGCAAAAACGAUCAUCCAAAGGCUAUUGGAUUAUUCAAGAAAACUAAAGACCAAGGAGUUCAAAACCGCCUAUGUACACAUCCACGAUACUUAUGGAUGGAUUGUGCGAAGUGGAAGACUUCAGAAUGCAAAAAUGAUUUUUCAGGAUCUACUGAUUAAAGGCUAUCAACUAAGUGUCUGUCUGUACUCUGUAUAAUGUUAUGAUUUGUAAAGAGGGAUUUUUUGAUGAAGCAUUGAUCUAGAAAUCUAAAAUGGAAAACAGAUCUUAAAGAAGAUACACUGUGUAAAUGUGUAAUGGCACUGGCACUCGCGUGUGUGAUUAAAAGUCAUAUAUGGUUUAAGAUACUUUUUUUUAUAAAGAUAGUAGUGGUCAAUUUUUCGAUAUUACACAAGUGUUUCUUUUUCUUCUCAUUGUACUGUAGAUCUGAUUUACUUUCAAUGAUUGUUUAAGUCACUGGUGUAAUUGUUUGUGUUUCAAAUAUCAAACCAAGCUGAAACUGACAUGAUGAUGA